rnacentral:rRNA from 1 species
UGGUACCUACAGAAGAAGUCCCGGCAAACUCCGUGCCAGCAGCCGCGGUAUACGGAGGGGGCAUCCGUUGUUCGUAAUUAUUGGGCGGAAAGGGCAUGUAGGCGGUUUGGUAAAUUAAAGGUGAAAUACCAGGGCUUAACCCUGGGGCUGCUUUUAAUACUGCACGACUAUCGUCCGGAAGAGGAUAGCGUACUUCCUAGUGUAGAGGUGAAAUUCGUAAAUAUUAAGAGGAACACCAGUGGCGAAGGCGGCUGUCUGGUCCGGUACUGACUCUGAGGUGCAAAAGCGUGGGGAGCAAACAAGAUUAUAUACCCUGGUACUCCACGCUGUAAACGAUGAGUGCU